rnacentral:sRNA from 1 species
CGUUUUCAGUUCAAUCAAAACAAAAUUAGAAUAAUAGAAGUCCCCCACAGAGUAAGUUUAUUUCCCUGCCUGAUUAUAUUUUUAUUAUGUAUAAGAAGUAUGCACAAAUAGUGCAAGGUAUACAUUUUUGUGUUUUCAACCCGUUAAUAAAGGUUCUAUUUUUUGGUUCAUACGAACUGAAUUUCUAACUUGGUCCAGGCAAUACACACUUUGUAAACCUAUAUAUAAAAGUAUUUUAAAUACUUACCUUCAUAGACAUAUAUAUUUUUUAGGUGUUUUGCAUUUAUUUAUUACACACACAAAGUAAAAUUCUCUGUCUAGGUUACCAACCAUUAUCUUUUCUUACAUGUAGUGAUAGGCAAACUUACACAUUGGGAAUUGUUGGUUAUGUAUAUUUACACCUUAGGAAUGCUUAUGUGCUAGUUUGUAGUCAUGGUUUAGGCAUGCAUAUAUAAGCAUGUAACAUAUUUAUAGGCACAGGUUUUAUAGGACACUUUGCAAGUGUUUAACUAGGAUUUCGAUGUGUGAGCUUUUGACUGAUUGAUUGAUUUAGGUGUGUGUUUUCAUAUACUGUUAGUGCAUGUGUACUUACCUGAUACUUACCUAAUUUGUGUAUUUUUUGUUUAUUAUACUAAGACAUAUUGUAAUAGGAACAUUUUAUUAAUUUCAGCUUUCUACCUUCCCCUGGGAAGUAUGUAUUGUAUGGAAAUAAAGAACAUUUAUAGAACAUUAGGCUUUCAUAUAUAGCUAUAGAACCCCAGAACACUACAGUAGAAAGUCUGCGACAUGGACAAACAGGAAGAAUCAGAUGAACCAUUGGUAUCUGGAAGAAUACGGAAGUACACUCCAAAAGCUAAGGAUAUUUUUGAGGGAAACGUCUCGGGAUAUUAUAAAGUACUCUCAGAAAUCAGAACUAGUAUUAUAGAUGAAAGUUUGAAAUACUUAGAUCAAUAUUCUGAAAAUGCUGAAGUUUUGAAAGAAGUGAGACAGGUCUUGUUAGAAGGGUUAGAGAAAUAUCAUGAACAAUCGAAGGAAUUCAGAGAAUAUUUAUUAAUGCAAAAAACUACAGACAGUAUCAAUGAACUUUAUGCAUUCAAAGUUGUGUAUCAAGCUACAGAACAUAAAGUUAGAUACGGACUAAGAUUUAUCGACAAAAGGACAGCUGAAUUAAACCAAUUGACUCAGGAAAGUCAUGAUAGUAAAGCUAGGCAGUCAAGUCACCAUAGUAAAACUAGUCAGUCAAGUCACCAUAGUCAAGCUAGUCAGUUAAGUCACCACAGUAAAACUAGUCAGUCAAGUCACCAUAGUCAAGCUAGUCAGUCAAGUCACCAUACUCUAGCUAGUCAGUCAAGUCACCACAGUAAAACAAGUCGGUCAAGUCACCAAAGCAAAUCUAGUCAGUCAAGUCACUCGACGAAGACAAGUCACAGAUCUAGCAAAGACAUUUAUAUAGAUAAAAAGUCAAAGGCAGAAACCGCAAAGGUCAGACUUAAGAUAAUAGAAGAAGAAGAAACGCUUAAAAGAGAACAAAAUAAACUGGAAUUAGAAGUGCAGAAGAAAAGGUCCGAUUUGGAAUCCAAUUUAACAGUUUUAAAACAUAAACGAGAAGUGGCUGAGGCAGAAGCAGAGUUAAGUGUGGUUAAAGAAGUACUAGAAGAUAAAUGUGACAGUAUAAGCAAUAAAAGCGGGAAAUUACCAGACAAUGAGAUAUGCACUUCUGAAAUUGUAAAAUCUUAUGUUGCCAGUCAGAGACCGGAAGUUUGUGUUCCAGUUGAGGAAACAAAAUUAAACCCUUAUGUGCCAGAAUUUGUGCCUUCAACAACACUGCCAAAGGAAAUUAAAACAUCUCAACCGCAACAGACUAUGCUUGUGUCAGAAACUCCAGUCUAUAGGUUAGAUUCUGAAAAAACUUAUACAAAUGAAAUACCAUCACCUGGAAUAAUUGACCUCACAAAAUACAUAAUGAAAAAAGACAUUAUGUUGUCAAGAAUGUCACAAUUUGACGACAAGCCAGAAAAGUACUGUAGUUGGAAGAGAAGUUUCAAAAACAUUAUGAAAGAACUCGACGCAACAAGCCCAGAAGAAUUAGAUCUGUUGAACAAAUGGUUGGGCCCGCAAUCAAAGAAACAGGCAUCCAGCUUAAGAGUCGCAAACGUUCAUGAUGAAACUCUAGGCUUAGAGAAAAUUUGGGAGAGGCUUGAUGAGAGGUAUGGAGCACCUGAAAGUGUAGCCGCCUCACUCAAAGAACGCUUGGACAGAUUUCCUAAAAUUAAAAACAAUGAAUACGAUAAAUUGUAUGAACUCGCAGACCUUUUGUCUGAGAUCGAUUCAGUUAAACAGAGUGAAAGAUAUAAAUUAGUUUUGGCGUACUUCGACGCUUCAUAUGGAGUGAAUGAAAUUGUAACAAAACUGCCAUACUUCAUGCAAACUAGAUGGAUUGACCACGCCAGCAAGUACAAGCUCAACAAUUCAGUGAUGUAUCCACCAUUUAGAACUUUUGCAGAAUUUAUUCACUCUUUAGCAGUAAAGAUGAACGACCCAAGCUUUUAAGUUUCAACAGACUGAAUCCGGUAGUAACCGAAAAGAUCCUGAAAAGCAGAAGUUUAACAAUAGAAAUGCAUUAAAUAGACAAGUAUUAAACACAAAAAAGACUAAAGUAGAAAAUCAAAACUCAAAUGACCUUAAGUGUCCAGUACACGAAGAAGGGAAACAUAAGUUAGUAGAAUGUCGAUCGUUUCCUACCAAACCCCUUGCAGAAAAAAGGGAGAUAAUAAAGAAACAUGGUAUUUGCUUUAAAUGUUUAAAAGGCAAGCAUCUGGCUAAAGACUGUUCAGCAAAGGUUAAAUGCGAAAAAUGUGGAAACUCAUCACACUGCACAGCGUUUCACAUUGAACGUCAGGAACCAUUGUUAGAUAAUGGCGGGGAACGAAAGAAGAUAAACGAAGAUAUCCCAAAAGUAGGAUCAUUAUGUACAGAAAUUUGUGGCGACGCAAAUCAGUUUAAUGGAAAGUCAUGUGCAAAAACAUUACUGAUAAACCUAUAUCCAAAGGGAAAACCAGAACAACGUGUUAAAACAUAUGCCAUAAUUGAUGACCAAUGUAACAGGUCUUUAGCUACCUCUGAAUUUUUUGAUACUUUUAGCGAACACUAUGAUACUAUACAGUAUACCUUGUCAUCGUGUUCAGGAAAAUCUGCACAGUCUGGUCGUCGUGCCACAGGAUUCAGACUUGAAUCAUUCGAUAGAAAUACUCAACUCGAGUGCACAUCACUAAUAGAAUGUAAUGACAUUCCAAAUUCCAAACAGGAAAUAGCUACACCUGCUGUAGCCAGACAGUAUAGUCAUCUAGAGUCAAUAGCAGAAUUUAUCCCUGAAUUGGACCAGGACGCCAACAUUUCACUUCUUAUAGGAAGGGACAUGAUAAGUUGUCAUCACAUUUUGGACCAGAUAAUUGGUAAAGAUCAUGAACCAUAUGCUCAGCGCCUACGGUUAGGAUGGACUAUUAUUGGAGAAGCAUGUCUUGGUCUAGUGCAUACAUCUGAUGUCAUAACUGUCAACAAAACAUCAGUUUUACCAAAUCAGGAAAUAACCCUAAAACCUUGUGAAUAUAACUUUAAGGUCAAGGACACAAAACUAGAACAAAAAUCUGAAUAUAGUGAUAUAUUUGAACAGACUGUAGAAGAUAAUGAAGUGGGAUUAUCCCGUGAAGAUAAGGAGUUUAUAACCAUUAUGGAAAAUGGAGUAAGGAAGGAAUCAAAUGGUAACUUCAGUGCACCUCUGCCUUUUCGCAAAGAUGGUACAACACUAAGUAAUAACUAUGAACAAGCACGAAAAAGAGCAGAAAACUUAGGAAGGAGUCUAAAGAGGGACCCGAAAAAGUUAGAGGAUUUUCUUCAGUUCAUGGAAAAUAUACUUAAGAACAACCAUGCAGAAUUGGCACCCCCUAUCAAGGAUGGAGAAGAAGUAUGGUAUUUGCCCAUUUUUGGAGUGUACCAUGCUAAGAAACUAUCUAAAAUAAGAGUAGUAUUUGAUUCGUCGGCUAAGUACCAUGGGAUUUGUCUAAAUGACAUACUGCUUAAAGGACCAGACUUAACAAACAAUCUAGUUAGUGUAUUAUCAAAGUUCAGAAUAGGUCAGUUUGCAGCUAUUGCUGAUGUGGAGCAAAUGUUUUUUAACUUUGAAGUUCAAGAGAAUCACAGAAACUUUCUCAGAUUUAUUUGGUUUAAGGACAAUGACAUUGAAAUGCCACUUGUAGAGUAUAGGAUGCGAGUCCAUGUGUUCGGAAACUCUCCAUCUCCAUCAGUUGCAAAUUAUUGUUUACGAAAGGCGGUUUGUAAUCAUGAAGGAGAAGAACCGUGUGACAACGUAUGUAAAUAUGUGAAAGAACACUUCUAUGUUGAUGAUGGACUUCUUUCUAGUGACAGUGAAAAAGACAUUGCUAGUCUUUAUUAAAAGAACACAGGAUAGACUAAUGACGGGUGGUAAUAUUCGAUUACACAAAAUCUUAUCGAAUAGUAACAAAGUGCUUUCUAGCUUUCCACAAAAAGACUUAGCAAAGAAUAUUACGGAAAUAGACUUUGAUUCUGACGCAUCUUGUUUACAGCGUAGUUUAGGCUUGAGCUGGGACGUCAUUCGAGACAUAUUCACAUAUCAGCUAUCAGCAGAUGAGAAACCUUACACAAAAAGAGGAGUACUCUCAGUCAUAAAUGGAAUUUUUGACCCUAUAGGUUUUGUAGCGCCUGUAAUCCUAGGAGGGAGACUGAUAAUGAGACAAGCUUUACAGAACGCAAGUGUAGAAUGGGAUGAUCAAUUACCAGAAUAUUUGAUGAAUGAUUGGCAGGUCUGGAAACAAUCAUUAAAGGACUUAGAAACAUUAGAAAUCCGAAGAUCUUUCACUGAAACAUCUUUAGGCGACUGUUCAAAAUGUGAACUCCACAUCUUUUCAGAUGCAUCCAAAGAUGCUAUAGCCUCAGUAGCUUACAUUCGCACAUUCAAUGACAAUGGACAUUCUCAGUUGGGAUUCGUAUUAGGAAAAUCAAAAUUAGCACCUAACCAUGGUCACACCAUACCCAGACUUGAGUUGUGUGCAGCCGUUCUAGCAACAGAACUUGCGUCAUUCAUUCAGAAGACUCUUGAGAUACCUUCAUCUGCCACAUACUUUUAUACAGACAGUCAAGUGGUCCUAGGUUAUCUAUAUAAAUGAGACUAGGCGAUUUUACGUGUAUGUCAGCAAUCGAGUUGAUCGAAUUCUGAAGGUUUCUACAAAAUUGCAAUGGAACUAUGUGCCAACAAGCUAUAAUCCAGCAGAUCAUGGUACAAGACCAUUGGAAGUUAACAGUCUAAGACAAUCAGAAUGGUUAAAAGGUCCAAACACCUUUUUUGAGUCCCAGAAUUUAUCAGGUAGCACACUGUUUGAAGUCAUAGAACCAGAAGUCGACAAAGAAGUCAGACCAUUAGUAGAAGUAAAAAAGACAUUUGUUAAGUCAUCAGGUGUAGACAUAAGUUUAUUUGAACAUUUUUCAACAUGGACAAGUCUUGUCAGAGGUAUCGCAUUUCUUAAACAAAAAGCUUCAAUGUGGCACAAAGAUGCGACUGAUGAAAAGAACAGUAAGUCUUGCGUCACCUUUAUGAAGGAGUCUGAGAAGUUGAUUAUAAAGGAGGUACAACAAGACACAUAUUAUAAUGAGAUAGACUGCUUGAAGCAAAGUAAACCUUUACAAAAGAACAGUAGUUUAAUUGCACUUUCACCAGUAUUAGACUCCGAUGGAUUACUUCGAGUAGGAGGAAGACUUAAAAACUCAGACAUAGAAAGUUGUGAAAAAAUGCCUGUAAUUAUACCAGGUAAAAGCUACAUUGCUACAUUAAUAGUCAAGCACUGUCACAAUGCUGUUCAGCACAUGGGAAGACAUUUUACUGAAGGAGCAAUUCGUUCGAGAGGAAUAUGGUUGACUGGAGGUAAACGGCUCAUUAAUUCCAUCCUACACAACUGUAUAAAAUGUCGUAAAUUGCGAGGAAGUGCCGAACAACAGAAGAUGGCUGAUCUCCCUUCUGACCGUCUCACACCAAGCCCUCCAUUUACCUAUGUGGGCGUGGACACCUUUGGUCCUUGGUCCAUCUUAACAAGACGCACACGUGGAGGUUCAGCCAAUACAAAGCGAUGGGCGAUUAUGUUUUCCUGUCUAGUAACUCGAGCAAUACACAUAGAAGUGGUUGAGGAGAUGACUUCAUCUUCCUUUAUCAAUGCGUUGCGCAGAUUUACAGCUCUUCGAGGACCAGUCAAGGAAUUCCGAUCAGAUCAAGGUACAAAUUUCAUUGGAGCUAUUAAUGAACUAGACAUUACAAGUUUCAACGUUGAAGACCAACCAAUUAAAGACUAUCUCCAAAAUAAUGGAACCAUAUGGAAAUUUAACCCACCACACGCCUCCAAUAUGAGCGGUGCUUGGGAGCGUAUGAUAGGACUAGCUCGAAAGAUCUUGAAUUCAAUGUUGUGCGAUAUAAAAGGUAAACAACUUACACAUGAAAUUCUAUGCACUUUAAUGGCGGAAGUAUGUUGUAUUGUGAACAACAGACCAAUAACUGUAGUAUCUAGUGAUCCAGAGUCACCUCAUGUGUUAUCGCCGAAUGUCCUUCUCACUCACAAAACAGACAAUGAUACGGAAUAUAUUCCAGAUUUAUCACUUAAAGAUACUUAUAAAGCUCAAUGGAAACAAGUGCAAGUAUUAGCCAAUCAGUUUUGGAAAAGGUGGAAAACAGAAUACUUACACAAUCUUCAACUCAGGAAAAAGUGGGAAGUUGAAAGCCGCAAUCUAUGUAAGGAUGAUAUUGUGCUCAUGAUUGAUGAUACUCUGCAUAGGAAUCAGUGGUUAACAGGAACUAUAGUUGAAGUUUAUCCGAGUUCAGAUGGUUUGGUUCGUAAAGCAUUAGUACGUGUCAUCAAGAAUGGCGAACCAACAACUUACAUUCGUCCGAUUUCUAAACUUGUGUACUUAUUUUCUGAUAAGAAUCAGUUUGUGAAUGAAUGA